CUGUGGGGAUCUGGUACUGUGGUUCCUGCAUGAACACCGUGGCUGGUGGCGCCUGGACCUACAAUAUCCGUUCUGCAGUCACAGUCAAGUCAGCC
rnacentral:miRNA from 1 species